CCUACGGGCGACAGCAGUGAGGAAUAUUGGUCAAUGGGCGGACGCCUGAACCAGCCAAGUCGCGUGAGGGAAUACGGCCCUACGGGUCGUAAACCUCUUUUGCCGGGGAGCAAGUGGCGGUACGCGUACCGUCCUGGAGAGUACCCGGAGAAAAAGCAUCGGCUAACUCCGUGCCAGCAGCCGCGGUAAUACGGAGGAUGCGAGCGUUAUCCGGAUUUAUUGGGUUUAAAGGGUGCGUAGGCGGGCUUCUAAGUCAGCGGUAAAAUGGCGGGGCUCAACCCCGCUCGGCCGUUGAAACUGGCGGCCUUGAGUGGGCGAGAAGAAGGCGGAAUGCGUGGUGUAGCGGUGAAAUGCAUAGAUAUCACGCAGAACCCCGAUUGCGAAGGCAGCCUACCGGCGCCCAACUGACGCUGAGGCACGAAAGUGCGGGGAUCGAACAGGAUUAGAUACCCGAGUAGUC
rnacentral:rRNA from 1 species